rnacentral:misc_RNA from 1 species
CCUCUUUAACGAUAUUUCGAUUUUAACGCCCACACGAGUAACUAAAUAUAUAAAAAGAACAUAUUGAUAUGUAAAAUUUUUGGUAUGUAAUUUUCUAGUGUGUACAUUUAUGUACAUAUAAGAUCACUGCAAUUUAAAAGAAAAGUAAUUAAUAUAUUUUAUUAAGUACUCUCAAAAGCGAAUAACCUUUUUUAAGGUUAUAUGAUCAAGUAAAGGAAGAGCGCAAGGCGGAUGCCUUGGCAGCAGAAGGCGAUGAAGGACGUAGUAACCUGCGAUAAGCUUCGGGGAGCUGGUAAACAAGCUUCGAUCCGGAGAUUUCCGAAUGGGGA